rnacentral:rRNA from 1 species
UACGUAGGGUGCAGGCGUUAAUCGGAAUUACUGGGCGUAAAGCGUGCGCAGGCGGCUUUGCAAGACAGAUGUGAAAUCCCCGGGCUCAACCUGGGAACUGCAUUUGUGACUGCAUGGCUGGAGUGCGGCAGAGGGGGAUGGAAUUCCGCGUGUAGCAGUGAAAUGCGUAGAUAUGCGGAGGAACACCGAUGGCGAAGGCAAUCCCCUGGGCCUGCACUGACGCUCAUGCACGAAAGCGUGGGGAGCAAACAGG